rnacentral:sRNA from 1 species
AUGUUAAAAGCUAUUUUUCAAGGCUGGCACAGUCUUACCUGCAUUUCAAACCACAGUAAAAGUCGAUUCUCCUUCUCUAGAUUGUCAAGACAUUGCCAAUAAGGGAGCUAAACAGAGCGGGCUUUACUUUAUCAAACCUCUGAAAGCUAACCAGCAAUUCUUAGUCUACUGUGAAAUUGAUGGGUCUGGAAAUGGAUGGACUGUGUUUCAGAAGAGACUUGAUGGCAGUGUGGAUUUCAAGAAAAACUGGAUUCAAUAUAAAGAAGGAUUUGGACAUCUGUCUCCUACUGGCACAACAGAAUUUUGGCUGGGAAAUGAGAAGAUUCAUUUGAUAAGCACACAGUCUGCCAUCCCAUAUGCAUUAAGAGUGGAACUGGAAGACUGGAAUGGCAGAAUCAGUACUGCAGACUAUGCCAUGUUCAAGGUGGGACCUGAAGCUGACAAGUACCGCCUAACAUAUGCCUACUUCGCUGGUGGGGAUGCUGGAGAUGCCUUUGAUGGCUUUGAUUUUGGCGAUGAUCCUAGUGACAAGUUUUUCACAUCCCACAAUGGCAUGCAGUUCAGUACCUGGGACAAUGACAAUGAUAAGUUUGAAGGCAACUGUGCUGAACAGGACGGAUCUGGUUGGUGGAUGAACAAGUGUCACGCUGGCCAUCUCAAUGGAGUUUAUUACCAAGGUGGCACUUACUCAAAAGCAUCUACUCCUAAUGGUUAUGAUAAUGGCAUUAUUUGGGCCACUUGGAAAACCCGGUGGUAUUCCAUGAAGAAAACCACUAUGAAGAUAAUCCCAUUCAACAGACUCACAAUUGGAGAAGGACAGCAACACCACCUGGGGGGAGCCAAACAGGUCAGACCAGAGCACCCUGUGGAAACAGAAUAUGACUCACUUUACCCUGAGGAUGAUUUGUAGAAAAUUAACUGCUAAUUUCUAUUGACCCACAAAGUUUCAGAAAUUCUCUGAAAGUUUCUUCCUUUUUUCUCUUACUAUAUUUAUUGAUUUCAAGUCUUCUAUUAAGGACAUUUAGCCUUCAAUGGAAAUUAAAACUCAUUUAGGACUGUAUUUCCAAAUUACUGAUAUCAGAGUUAUUUAAAAAUUGUUUAUUUGAGGAGAUAACAUUUCAACUUUGUUCCUAAAUAUAUAAUAAUAAAAUGAUUGACUUUAUUUGCAUUUUUAUGACCACUUGUCAUUUAUUUUGUCUUCGUAAAUUAUUUUCAUUAUAUCAAAUAUUUUAGUAUGUACUUAAUAAAAUAGGAGAACAUUUUAGAGUUUCAAAUUCCUAGGUAUUUUCCUUGUUUAUUACCCCUAAAUCAUUCCUAUUUAAUUCUUCUUUUUAAAUGGAGAAAAUUAUGUCUUUUUAAUAUGGUUUUUGUUUUGUUAUAUAUUCACAGGCUGGAGACGUUUAAAAGACCGUUUCAAAAGAGAUUUACUUUUUUAAAGGACUUUAUCUGAACAGAGAGAUAUAAUAUUUUUCCUAUUGGACAAUGGACUUGCAAAGCUUCACUUCAUUUUAAGAGCAAAAGACCCCAUGUUGAAAACUCCAUAACAGUUUUAUGCUGAUGAUAAUUUAUCUAC